GACGAACGCGGGCGGCGUGCUUAACACAUGCAAGUCGAACGGAAAGGCCCUUCGGGGUCCUCGAGUGGCGAACGGGUGAGUAACACGUGGGUGAUCUGCCCUGCACUUUGGGAUAAGCCUGGGAAACUGGGUCUAAUACCGAAUAGGACCACGCGCUUCAUGGUGUGUGGUGGAAAGCUUUUGCGGUGUGGGAUGGGCCCGCGGCCUAUCAGCUUGUUGGUGGGGUAAUGGCCUACCAAGGCGACGACGGGUAGCCGGCCUGAGAGGGUGACCGGCCACACUGGGACUGAGAUACGGCCCAGACUCCUACGGGAGGCAGCAGUGGGGAAUAUUGCACAAUGGGCGCAAGCCUGAUGCAGCGACGCCGCGUGAGGGAUGACGGCCUUCGGGUUGUAAACCUCUUUCACCAGGGACGAAGCGUAAGUGACGGUACCUGGAGAAGAAGCACCGGCCAACUACGUG
rnacentral:rRNA from 1 species